UCCAAGCCAUUUCCAAGGGAAGUGAAACACAAAAUGCCACUCUUUCUGCAGGACAUGCCUCGUGUGGCUCAGGUAGUGAAGGUGCAGAACAGCCAGGUGGAGAUCACACAUCCUCCCAGCUACUUCAGCUCUGACACAUGAACCUGGACAGCAUUUAGGAUGAGCUCUGAGACACAGUUCAGG